GGCAGCAGUAAGGAAUAUUGGUCAAUGGAGGGAACUCUGAACCAGCCAUGCCGCGUGAAGGAUGACGGCCCUCUGGGUUGUAAACUUCUUUUGGAUGGGGCGAAAAAACGGGAUUUAUCCUGGACUGACGGUACCAUCAGAAUAAGCACCGGCUAACUCCGUGCCAGCAGCCGCGGUAAUACGGAGGGUGCAAGCGUUAUCCGGAAUCACUGGGUUUAAAGGGUGCGUAGGCGGUUGUAUAAGUCAGGGGUGAAAGGAUGCAGCUUAACUGUAUACUUGCCUUUGAUACUGUAUGACUUGAAUAAGGUUGAGGUUGGCGGAAUGUGACAUGUAGCGGUGAAAUGCUUAGAUAUGUCAUGGAACACCGAUUGCGAAGGCAGCUGACUGGGCCUUUAUUGACGCUGAGGCACGAAAGCGUGGGUAGCGAACAGGAUUAGAUACCCUGGUAGUCCACGCCCUAAACGAUGUAUACUCGUUGUUGAGAAGUAAUUUUGAGCCGACCAAGCGAAAGCGUUAAGUAUACCACCUGGGGAGUACGCCCGCAAGGGUGAAACUCAAAGGAAUUGACGG
rnacentral:rRNA from 1 species